GAUGAACGCUGGCGGCGUGCCUAAUACAUGCAAGUCGAGCGAACAGACGAGGAGCUUGCUCCUCUGACGUUAGCGGCGGACGGGUGAGUAACACGUGGAUAACCUACCUAUAAGACUGGGAUAACUUCGGGAAACCGGAGCUAAUACCGGAUAAUAUAUUGAACCGCAUGGUUCAAUAGUGAAAGACGGUUUUGCUGUCACUUAUAGAUGGAUCCGCGCCGCAUUAGCUAGUUGGUAAGGUAACGGCUUACCAAGGCAACGAUGCGUAGCCGACCUGAGAGGGUGAUCGGCCACACUGGAACUGAGACACGGUCCAGACUCCUACGGGAGGCAGCAGUAGGGAAUCUUCCGCAAAGGGCGAAAGCCUGACGGAGCAACGCCGCGUGAGUGAUGAAGGUCUUCGGAUCGUAAAACUCUGUUAUUAGGGAAGAACAAAUGUGUAAGUAACUAUGUACGUCUUGACGGUACCUAAUCAGAAAGCCACGGCUAACUACGUG
rnacentral:rRNA from 1 species